rnacentral:misc_RNA from 1 species
AUUUCCUGUUCUCCUAUAGCCUAAUUAUUGCUUGUCAUUUGUCCAUUCUUUGGCCUCCAUAGUUGUCCUAAACUCAUGCGUGCAUUUUCUCCCUUUAUUCCAUUAGAAUGAAUAUUAAGUUACUGAGUGUACUGGUUCUUUCUUCUGCGAUUUUAAGAUGAAUUGGAAUAUUUAGAAUUAACAGAUGUAGUAUUGAAGCAACAGUACGCUGAGAAAUUGAAAUACUGUCUCUAGUUGCUGAUAAGGAAUUUUUCUGUUAUUAAGGGAAUAUUUAUACUUAAUAAGUUGAGAAAGAAUGAAGGAUGAUUGUCUAACACUAGCAAUGGGUUGUUAAGAGUGGUAGCAAAAG